rnacentral:rRNA from 1 species
CGGGACGGGGUGGAGUAAUGUCUGUGAAACUGCCUGAUGGAGGGGGGUAACUACUGGAAACGGUAGCUAAUACCGCAUAACGUCGCAAGACCAAAGAGGGGGACCUUCGGGCCUCUUGCCAUCGGAUGUGCCCAGAUGGGAUUAGCUAGUAGGUGGGGUAAAGGCUCACCUAGGCGACGAUCCCUAGCUGGUCUGAGAGGAUGACCAGCCACACUGGAACUGAGACACGGUCCAG